UUUUCUUUCAUAGGAUCAUUUCUGUUAUCUUUAAGGCUCCCGGUGUGGUUUGUGACUGUGGGUUCUGUUUUGUGUUGUGACCUUGUAUUGGAAUAAAC